CUUUGAAAAGCUAAAUAAGGUGAAGAGGAUGUAGAAAAUAGACCUUAUAUGGAAAACUGUGAACUCUAUGGUGGCAUCUGUAUUAAAGGAUCAUUUUGUGGGAGCAAUACCAACCUGCUUCCUCUGAACAUUUGAGCAGAAGGAGGAGCUUCUCAGGA